UACGAAGGGUGCAAGCGUUACUCGGAAUUACUGGGCGUAAAGCGUGCGUAGGUGGUUCGUUAAGUCUGAUGUGAAAGCCCUGGGCUCAACCUGGGAAUGGCAUUGGAUACUGGCGACCUAGAGUGCGGUAGAGGGGUGUGGAAUUCCCGGUGUAGCAGUGAAAUGCGUAGAUAUCGGGAGGAACAUCUGUGGCGAAGGCGGCGAUCUGGGAAGAUACUGACGCUGAGGUGCGAAAGCGUGGGGAGCAAACAGG
rnacentral:rRNA from 1 species